rnacentral:rRNA from 1 species
UACGGAGGGUGCAAGCGUUGUUCGGAUUUAUUGGGCGUAAAGCGCGUGUAGGCGGUUUCUUAAGUCUGAUGUGAAAGCCCUGGGCUCAACCCAGGAAGUGCAUUGGAUACUGGGAGACUUGAAUACGGGAGAGGGUAGUGGAAUCCUAGUGUAGGAGUGAAAUCCGUAGAUAUUAGGAGGAACACCGGUGGCGAAGGCGGCUACCUGGACCGAUAUUGACGCUGAGACGCGAAAGCGUGGGGAGCGAACAGG